UUUUAAUUUGCGUUAGGGAUAGGAGUGACAUCCUUUUGUGGAGUUUACGAAACAAAAGAUAGAACGGAUAGCCCGACCGCCU
rnacentral:sRNA from 1 species